rnacentral:rRNA from 1 species
AAGCGUUAUCCGGAAUUAUUGGGCGUAAAGCGUCCGCAGGCGGCCUUUCAAGUCUGCUGUUAAAGCGUGGAGCUUAACUCCAUUAUGGCAGUGGAAACUGAUCGGCUUGAGUAUGGUAGGGGCAGAGGGAAUUCCCGGUGUAGCGGUGAAAUGCGUAGAUAUCGGGAAGAACACCAGUGGCGAAGGCGCUCUGCUGGGCCAUCACUGACGCUCAUGGACGAAAGCCAGGGGAGCGAAAGGGAUUAGAUACCCCUGUAGUCCUGGCCGUAAACGAUGAACACUAGGUGUCGGGGGAAUCGACCCCUCCGGUGUCGUAGCCAACGCGUUAAGUGUUCCGCCUGGGGAGUACGCACGCAAGUGUGAAACUCAAAGGAAUUGACGGGGGCCCGCACAAGCGGUGGAGUAUGUGGUUUAAUUCGAAGCAACGCGAAAAACCUUACCUACACUUGACAUACUUCGAAUUUUCUAGAGAUAGAUUAGUGCCUUCGGGAGCGGAGAUACAGGUGCUGCAUGGCU